rnacentral:rRNA from 1 species
AGGACGAACGCUGGCGGCGUGCUUAACACAUGCAAGUCGAGCGAGGCCCUUCCUUCGGGAAGGUGCCCUAGCGGCAAACGGGUGAGUAACACGUGGGCAACCUGCCCCUAGCACUGGGAUAACUCCGGGAAAACCGGGGCUAAUACCGGAUAUGACCAUCGAGGGCAUCCUCGUUGGUGUAAAGGAUUCUGGCUAGGGAUGGGCCCGCGGCCUAUCAGCUUGUUGGUGGGGUAACGGCCUACCAAGGCGACGACGGGUA